rnacentral:rRNA from 1 species
UACGUAGGGGGCGAGCGUUGUCCGAAGUUACUGGGCGUAAAGCGCGCGUAGGCGGUCAUUUAAGUUCGGGGUGAAAGGUUCAGCGCUCAACGCGAACAGUGCCUUGAAUACUGGGUGACUUGAGUUCGGGAGAGGGCAGUGGAAUUCCUGGUGUAGCGGUGAAAUGCGUAGAUAUCAGGAGGAACACCGAUGGCGAAGGCAGCUGCCUGGCCUAGAACUGACGCUGGAGGUGACGAAAGCGUGGGGAGCGAACAGG